AUUGAACGCUGGCGGCAGGCCUAACACAUGCAAGUCGAACGAGUGGCGGACGGGUGAGGAAUGUCGGGGAAAAUGCCUGACGGAGGGGGAUAACUACUGGAAACGGUAGCUAAUACCGCAUACCAUGAGAUGUGCCCAGACGGGAUUAGCUAGUCGGUGGGGUAACGGCUCACCUAGGCGACGAUCCCUAGCUGGUCUGAGAGGGUGACCAGCCACACUGGGACUGAGACACGGCCCAGACGCCUACGGGAGGCAGCAGUGGGGAAUCUUGGGCAAUGGGCGCAAGCCUGAUAGAGCAAUGCCGCGUGAAUGAAGAAGGCCUUCGGGUUGUAAAGUACUUUCGGCAGGGAAGCGUUACCCACCGAAGAAGCACCGGCUAACUCCGUGCCAGCAGCCGCGGUAAUAC
rnacentral:rRNA from 1 species